CCCAGCGGUAGGCAGCUGUCUAGGUUGCCUUGUACCUAGGCAAGUGUUAAACUGCUGGGAGAAUAGCAGCCUGUGGCUGGUUGGCAUUCUGGGCCUGGUUCAUGUCAACACUGCGGUGGAUUACCAGGAUGCCAGCAUA
rnacentral:snoRNA from 1 species